rnacentral:rRNA from 1 species
CUAGCGACUUCAGAGUUUGAUCCUGGCUCAGGAUGAACGCUGGCGGCGUGCCUAACACAUUCAAGUCGAACGGUGAAGUACCUUCGGGUGCGGAUCAGUGGCGGACGGGUGAGUAACGCGUGAGCAACCUGCCUUUCAAAGCGGGAUAACGGCUGGAAACGGACGCUAAUACCGCAUGAUGUAUGCGAGACGCAUGUUUUGCAUACCAAAGAUUUAUCGAUGAAAGAUGGGCUCGCGUCUGAUUAGAUAGUUGGUGAGGUAACGGCUCACCAAGUCGACGAUCGGUAGCCGGACUGAGAGGUUGAACGGCCACAUUGGAACUGAGAUACGGUCCAG